CCUACGGGUGGCAGCAGUAGGGAAUUUUUCACAAUGGGGGAAACCCUGAUGCAGCGACGCCGCGUGGGUGAAGAAGCGCCUCGGCGCGUAAAGCCCUGUCAGCAGGGAAGAAAAUGACGGUACCUGAAGAAGAAGCCCCGGCUAACUACGUGCCAGCAGCCGCGGUAAUACGUAGGGGGCAAGCGUUAUCCGGAUUUACUGGGUGUAAAGGGGGCGCAGACGGCGAUGCAAGCCAGGAGGGAAAGCCCGGGGCCCAACCCCGGGACUGCUCUUGGAACUGCGUGGCUAGAGUGCAGGAGGGGCAGGCGGAAUUCCUGGUGUAGCGGUGAAAUGCGUAGAUAUCAGGAGGAACACCGGUGGCGAAGGCGGCCUGCUGGACUGCAACUGACGUUGAGGCCCGAAAGCGUGGGGAGCAAACAGGAUUAGAUACCCGGGUAGUC
rnacentral:rRNA from 1 species